AUGAACGCUAGCUACAGGCUUAACACAUGCAAGUCGAGGGGCAGCAUGAACAUUAGCUUGCUAUGUUUGAUGGCGACCGGCGCGACGGGUGCGUAACACGUAUCCAAUCUGCCCGUUACUCGGGGAUAGCCUUCUGAAAGGAAGAUUAAUACCCGAUGGCAUGUAUUUCCGGCAUCGGAGAUACAUUAAAGAUUUUAUCGGUAACGGAUGAGGAUGCGUACGAUUAGCUGGUUGGCGGGGUAACGGCCCACCAAGGCGACGAUCGUUAGGGGUUCUGAGAGGAAGGUCCCCCACACUGGAACUGAGACACGGUCCAGACUCCUACGGGAGGCAGCAGUGAGGAAUAUUGGUCAAUGGUCGAGAGACUGAACCAGCCAAGUAGCGUGAAGGAUGACUGCCCUACGGGUUGUAAACUUCUUUUGUUUGGGAAUAAAUGAUACUACGUGUAGUAUUUUGCAUGUACCUUACGAAUAAGCAUCGGCUAAUUCCGUG
rnacentral:rRNA from 1 species